rnacentral:rRNA from 1 species
AUACGUAGGUGGCAAGCGUUGUCCGGAAUUAUUGGGCGUAAAGCGCAUGUAGGCGGUUUGGUAAGUCGGUCGUGAAAAUGCGGUGCUUAACGCCGUAUGGCGAUUGAAACUGCUGAACUUGAGUGCAGGAGAGGAAAGGGGAACUCCCAGUGUAGCGGUGAAAUGCGUAGAUAUUGGGAAGAACACCGGUGGCGAAGGCGCCUUUCGGGACUGUGUCUGACGCUAAGAUGCGAAAGCCAGGGUGGCGAACGGGAUUAGAUACCCCGGUAGUCCUGGCCGUAAACGAUGGGUACUAGGUGUGGGAGGUAUCGACUCCUUCCGUGCCGGAGUUAACGCAAUAAGUACCCCGCCUGGGGAGUACGGUCGCAAGGCUUAAACUCAAAUGAAUUGACGGGG